GCUGUUGCCACUUACAAAUUCCAUAGCUGAUGUUGCAGGGGCAUGUGAUCCAGGCUGGUCUUGGUUGUAAUUCUAGCUCCUUUGCCUUCUGUAAUAUUAUAUUCCAAGGCUACCAUUUCUUUAAUCCUUUAAAGUAGUGACUCCUAAUCUUAUGUGAUCUUGAUUGUGUCACUAUGGUACACGAAUUGUUCUUUUCUGUUUGCUUACAGUGUUUUUCAUCUGUGACUUUUGGAUUUUGGCUACAAUAUUCCAAGGAGUUUUGAUUCUGGGGUCUCUUACAGAAGUCUGUUUGUGGAAAAUAACUAGAAGACAAGUGCCAGCAGAGGAAAGUUCACUCUCCAUCUUGGAGCCAUGGUGGUGGGCAGAUUCUAGGAGUGUGCCUGAUCUCUGGGUACCCAGAUCCCUGCUACUUCCUUCUGAGACUGAGGAGCUACUGCUGGACAGAAUGAAUAAGACUGGGGACAGCACACGUACAGAAAGUACACACAACCAGAGAAAAUUCAUGGAGGGCCCAUACACAAGGACUGAAGACAACUUUUACACUGGCUAAAAGACUUCAUGAAACACACGAGGCCUCUGUCUGUUUGUACUGUCUCCCCAGAAUUAAAGAAAUUAUCAACACAAGCAUGCCAGGAACAAUAAUAGCCAUCAUGACAACCCAAUCAACCUUGGUGAUAAAUAAACUCCCACAAUGCUCCUGUUAUUGUCACAAGAAAUGAACGGGUGCUUCUCAAAUGAAAAAUCAUGCUAAAUAAAAUAUAUUCCUCUCCAACACCACCAAUACCAAACACAUACAUACA